AACGAACGCUGGCGGCAUGCCUAACACAUGCAAGUCGAACGAGACCUUCGGGCCUAGUGGUGCACGGGUGCGUAACACGGGGGAAAAUGCCCUUUGCUUUGGAAUAACAGGUAGAAAUGACUGCUAAUACCGGAUGAUGUCGAAAGACCAAAGAUUUAUCGGAAAAGGAUGAGCCCGCGUAGGAUUAGGUAGUUGGUGGGGUAAAGGCCUACAAAGACGACGAUGCUUAGCUGGUCUGAGAGGAUGAUCCGCCACACUGGGACUGGGACACGGCCCAGACUCCUACGGGAUGCAGCAGUGGGUAAUACUGGACUGUGGGCGAAAGCCUGAUCCAGCAAUGCCGCGUGAGUGAUGAAAGCCUUAGGGUUGUAAAGCUCUUUUACCAGGGAUGAUAAUGACAGUACCUGGAGAAUAAGCUCCGGCUAACUCCGUG
rnacentral:rRNA from 1 species